GUUGACAGACUGGAGCGCAGCGGAGACCUCGGCAUCUGCGGUGCUCGGGAUUGUGUCCCCUACGGUCUCUUACCGUGCCUCCCGAUGGCGGGAGCUGGAAUUUGGUCCCCAGACCCCUUGGGAAGACGCGCACACCCUGGCAAACCAUGUGUACACCCGCGGUAGAAGCAGAUCCUAUGUUGUAAAUCACUUCUCUUUGAACUAAGUAUGCAGAAGACUUAAGAAGAUGAAGCUGAACAAUAAAAAUAUUAACUAAACAGAUUGAAAGAAACUUUUUUUUUUUUUUUUUUAGAUGGAGUCUCGCUCUGUCGCCAGGCUGGAGUGCAGUAGUGGGAUCUUGGCUCACUGCAACCUCCAACUCCCUGGUUCAAGCGAUUCUCUUGCCUCAGCCUCCUGAGUAGCUGGGAUUACAGGCACGCAUCACCACACCCAGUUUUUGUAUUUUUAGCAGAGACAGGGUUUCACCAUGUUGGCCAGGAUGCUCUUGAUCUCCUGACCUCGUGAUCCGCCUGCCUUGGCCUCCCAAAGUGCUGGAAUUACAGACAUGAGCCACUGCACACUGUACCCGGCCUGUGGUUUUUUUUUUUUUUUAAGACAGAGUCUCACUCUGUGGCCAAGGCUGGAGUGCAGUGGUACAAUCUCGGCUCACUGCAACCUCUGCCUCCCGAGUUCAAGCAAUUCUCGUGCCUCAGCCUCCCAAGUAGCUGAAAACAGCACAACCUGCUAAUUUUUGUAUUUUUAGUAGAGAUGGGGUUUUGCCAUGUUGGCCAGGCUGGUCUCAAACUCCUGGCUUCAAGUGAUCCACCGUCCUCGGCCUCCCAAAGUGCUGGGAUUACAGGUAUGAGCCAUAGCGCCAGGCCUGAAACAAACUUUCAAGUAAGACUAAAACUGUUCCGUGUAGCUGAUGAGUUGUUUUUCCUGCCACUCAUUAUAAAAAUACAAAAAUUGGCCGGGCACAGUGGCUAACACCUGUAAUCCUACCACUUUGGGAGGCUCAGAUAGACAGAUCACUUGAGCCCAUGAGUUCAAGACCAGCCUGGGCAAAACCCCAUCUGUACAAAAAAUACAAAAAUUAGCUGGGCAUAGUGGCAUAUGCCUGUAGUCCCAGUUACUCAAGAGGCUGAGAUGAGAACGAGAAACACCUGAGCCCAGGAGGUCGAGGCUGCAGUGAGCCGUGACUGUGCCACUGCAUUCCAGCCUAGGCUAUAGUGAGACCCUGUCUCAAGAAAUAACAAGAACAACAAAAUGCUCUUGCUUUCAAAUUAUUUUAUUGCCCAUCAAAUUGUAAAUGUUUCUUCAAGACUCUUGAUCAGAUAAUUAUGAGAAGUCACACAACAUACAGGAGAUGACUGGGCUUCAAUCGACUUUACUUGUCAAUAACAGAGUACAACUGAACUUUAAGUGGGAGCUGAAUUUCUUUCUUUCUUUUUUGAAACAGAGUUCCACUCUUGUUGCCCAGGCUGGAGUGCAAUGGCACGAUCUUGGCUCACUGCAACCUCCGCCUCCUGGGGUCAAACGAUUCUCCUGCCUCAGCCUCCCGAGUAGCUGUGAUUACAGGCAUGUGCCACCAUGCCUGGCUAAUUUUGUAUUUCUUUUUUUUUAGUAGAGACAGGGUUUCUCCAUGUUCGUCAGGCUGGUCUCAAACUCCUGACCUCAGGUGAUCUGCCCACCUUGGCCUACCAAAGUGCUGGGAUUACAGGUGUGAGCCACUGCGCCUGGCUCUUUUUUUUUUUUAAUAGUGUCUUGCUGUUACUCAGACUGAAGUGGCGCCAUCAUAGCUCACUAUAGCCUCAAACUCCUGGGCUCAAGCUAUCCUCCUUCUUCACCCUCCCCCACCAUGCUCGGCUAAUUUUUAAAAUUUUUAGUAGAAAUGAGGUCUUGCUGUUUUCCAGGCUCGUCUCAAACUCCCAAUCUCAUGCAAUCCUCCUGCCUCAGCCUCCCAAAGUGCUGGGAUUACAGGUGU
rnacentral:lncRNA from 10 species